rnacentral:rRNA from 1 species
GACGAACGCUGGCGGCGUGCUUAACACAUGCAAGUCGAACGAAGUGGCGAACGGGUGAGUAACGCGUAAUCAACCUGCCCUUCAGAGGGGGACAACAGUUGGAAACGACUGCUAAUACCGCAUACUGAAGGAGGGGAUUGCGUCUGAUUAGCUAGUUGGAGGGGUAACGGCCCACCAAGGCGAUGAUCAGUGGCCGGUCUGGUAAGAUGAACGGCCACAUGGGGACUGAGGAACGGCCCAGACUCCUACGGGAGGCAGAAGUGGGGAAUCUUCCGAAAUGGAAGAAAGUCUGACGGAGCAACGGCGCGGGAGUGAUGACGGCCUUCAGGUUGUAAAGCUAUGUUAAUCGGGACGCGGUACCGGAAUAGAAAGCCACGGCUAACUACGUGCCAGCAGCCGCGGUAAUAC